GGGCUCACUUCAACAGCAUAUAUAUGAAAAGUAGAAUGAUACAGAGAUCAGCAGGGCCCCUGCCCAAGGAUGACAUGAAAAUUCCUGGAAUGUUCCAUUCAAAA
rnacentral:snRNA from 1 species